rnacentral:tRNA from 1 species
GAUGCUGUAGCCGUUGGAAAGGCAUAGGUUUGCAAAACCGAAGUUGUUGGUUCCAAUCCAGCCAGCAUCG